UGCCUCCCGCUGGCUCCAGGGGCCCACCUGACCAGGGACCCUGCGUCUUCUUCCUCACUCAGAACACCAACCGGCCGAGAAAACUGGAACGAAGAGGAGAAGCUGUGAUGCAGGAACAUCUAGCGUAAAGCUGAGAGCGGCCGGAUGUGGAUCCCUGUGUUGUCCCACAAGUGGCCGGCAUCGCAAGUCUCUCGAAGUCUUCCGCCUGUCUUCGCUUUCCGACCCCACCGAUCCUGCGGAGCGCACCACGUGUACGGAAAAAUUGAGGCUUCUGAUAUUGUCCAGUCCCUCCAAAUACUGGGUCUAACUAUUUCUGAACAACAGGCAGAGUUGAUUCUUCAAAGCAUUGAUGCUGAUGGGACAAUGACAGUAGACUGGAAUGAAUGGAGGGACUAUUUCUUAUUGAAUCCUGUUACAGACAUUGAGGAGAUCAUCCGUUUCUGGAAGCAUUCUACUGGAAUUGACAUUGGAGAUAGUUUAACAAUUCCAGAUGAAUUCACAGAAGAUGAAAAGAAGUCUGGACAGUGGUGGCGGCAGCUUUUGGCUGGAGGCGUCACGGGCACUGUCUCUCAAACUAGUACCGCCCCUUUGGACCCCCUCAAAGUCAUGAUGCAAGUGAACUGCAUGAUCUUGUGUGUCCAUGGUUCAAAAUCAGGAAAAACGAACAUACAUAGUGGCUUUCGACAGAUGGUGAAAGAAGGAGGUAUCCGCUCCCUUUGGAGAGGAAAUGGUACAAAUGUCAUUAAAAUUGCUCCUGAGACAGCUGUUAAGUUCUGGGCGUAUGAACAGGUUUUGAAAACCAGGCUAGCUAUAGGCAAAACUGGACAAUACUCUGGAAUAUUCGAUUGUGCCAAGAAGAUUUUGAAACAUGAAGGCAUGGGAGCUUUUUACAAAGGUUAUGUUCCCAACUUAUUAGGCAUCAUACCGUACGCAGGUAUAGAUCUUGCUGUGUAUGAGCUCUUGAAGUCCUAUUGGCUAGAUAAUUUUGCUAAAGACUCUGUCAACCCUGGAGUCAUGGUUCUGCUGGGAUGUGGCGCUUUAUCCAGCACCUGUGGUCAGCUGGCCAGCUACCCCUUGGCUUUGGUGAGAACAUGCAUGCAGGCUCAAGGCGAGUUUCUGAUGAAAGAGGGACGGUGGUAAACGUGCCGCAUUAGUGACAUGCUUCUGGAACUUCAUUUUCUGCCAUGGUAGAAGGAACGCCACAGGUGAACAUGGGGCCUCUUUCGACGAAUAGUUUUCAAAGAAGGAAUACCGGGACUUGACAGAGGCAUCACCCCAAACUUCAUGAAAGUGCUCCCUGCUGUAGGCAUUAGCUAUGUGGUUUAUGAAAAUAUGAAACAAACUCUAGGAGCAACCCAGAAAUGACAUGUUGAAUUUUUUUGCUUUAGCCACAUUAUUGAAACUUUCAGCAGUCUCUGAAUUAUGACUUUUUCUCCUAGAAUUGCUACAAGUCUCUGGCAAAAGGAGUCCUACUUUUUUCAGAAAAGGGAAGAGCAGAUCAAUGAUCACUUCAGACAUUUGGGCUCAAUUUUAUAUGUACAGAAAUGUUAAAAAUCACAAAGUUGUGUUUUAUCUUUUUUCUUAUUUGUCCUUUUCACAAAUCCCUACACUGAAUCCUAAAUCUAACAAAUAUACAGCUUGAAUUAAAUUUGUUUUGUGUGGUAGGAUUAUAGACCAUUAAUCUUUAUUUUGGUUGAUUCGAGUUUAUGCCAGUUCCUUUAAACUUAAGUGUCUUAAAAACAGAAUGACUAGAAAAUAGAAAACCUUGAAACUCAAAUUGCUUUAUGUAUUUUGAAUGUCUUCAUAGACUUAUUAAAAUUUUAUUGUAGAACCAGUAAUAAAAAAAUCAUUGCAUGAAAGUAUACUUCACAGUAGCCAAAUAACUAAUAAAACGUACAUCUUUACCUUUCUUUAAGUCAAAUAAGAACAUACGUGGCAAAGGUUUAAGGCAUGUGAACACCCGAGUCCAUUCAUACUACUUUUGUGUGAGGUGGAGUGAUAAAAUGUCAGCGGGUCUGUCUCCGCUACUGCUGUGCUGUGGUUUGGUUCCUGGGCUGAUACACUCAUGGUCAGUCUGUUACUCUUAUGUUAUCAACACAAUGCCCUUUAUUCUGUUAUUGCUUUGAAAAAUAUCAGGAAACAAAACCCUUUUACUUCUAUCAGUGUCUGAAGAGCAUCUCUCUUUUCUUUGUCCCUUUUUCCUGCUUGAAUCAGAUUCUGUUUUAAUCACCAAGUCUUCAAGGACCCUUCUUGGUUAUCUGAAAUUUCUUGAUUACCUGAGUGGGUUGAUUACAGUUACAUCCCUGGGGGUUCACAGCAUCAAGGAGAAUCCAAAAUUGCAGGAUUUAUUGGCACAUCUUGGUGAAAUAUCAGUUUUCCUGGAAGUUGUGGGAGGCAAAAGUUAAGUAAGUUUAAGUGGUAAGUAAUAUAAAAGUUUUUUUAUAAUGCAGAUUACAAGUAAGUACAAAAUAUAUUAAAAACAAAGUGAAAUAAAACUUAAAACCACAAAGGAAAUGUCUGUGUUUUAACUAGAAUGCCACCCAAACUCCAGGGGUAACAUAUCGGCCCUCCUCUGCCCUCAGGAACCCUUUGUUAGAAAAAUGCUGCCAGACUUACAUCUUGCCUCUUAGUCUUUCAUCUGCAUCAAGAGAAUAACCUUCAUUUGAACAGGGAUUGUAUUUUACACUAUUCUGCUCAAGCUUUACAACAGGUCCCAUGUAUAAAAGUGUGGUAUGAUUUCCAUAUCCCUGAAAGGAAUUUUGCCAGCCCUUUUGUUCUCAUGGAAUUUUUUUUUUUUUGAGAAGAGCACCAAAGGGGUAAUGAUAUUUUUAGAGGGGGGCAACCAGCAGCGCUCCCCUCCCUCCUUUGCCAGGCUCUGUCGUGGGAGGCGGGUGGGGCGGGCUGCUCACUCAGGGCACUCCGGGAGAGCACGCCCUGCUGUUUGCUCAGGUCCGCGCUGCCUGGGCCGACCCACUGCUGCCCUCUGACCACAGGGCAAUUGGAGACUCUGCUCACAGCCCUCCGGCAGGUGUGGGGAGGCUUUCUGGCUCUUGUGUUUUCUCGGUGGAUGAGCAGGUUCUCCGGGUGUCAGCGGGCCCCCAUGCCCUGUACUCGGUUGCUCAGCCAGAGCCGCUAUCGCGCCUUUUGCUGUGAAAGCAGAAGCACCCGUGUCAGGACCACCUGCGAGUUUUUUCCCUAAGUAUUUAUGUUCUCAUUUGUUCUUUCAGUGAGUGUGUAUGAAACACUAUGUGCUAGACGCUUUGAGGUGCCAAGGGCACUGCAGUGAACAAAACAGCACCUUUCCUCACAGAGCUUGUCUAGUAGCGAGACAGGCAGUAGGCACACUAAGUGAAAGCUGCCAUAUUCAUGUCAGGUGGCGACAGGUGCAGACGCAGUGUUGGAGCUGCAGUCUGACGGAAGGCAGGCCUCGCCGAGAAGGUGCUGUUUGAGUGAAUUCUGAAGGUGCUCCUUAUGGGGACGGCCGGUGGUGGCUCGGAGGGCAUUCCAGGCCAAGGGACCAUCCAGCGGCCAGUGUGGCUGGAGUGGGGUAAGCUGGAGGGAAGGGAGGAAGCCCUGAAGCCCGAGAGGGCCUCUGCGGGGCACCCGAGCCGAGCAUUUCUCCAUUUCUCGGCCUCCAGUGCUGCAGUAGCCGCAGUUUCUUGGUGACGUUUCCCAUCCAGGAUUCAGAUGUGUCUCUGGGAGUGGGAGACUCAAUACCAAGAACAGCACCUGCCUUUUCUGGUAACUGUAUAUAAUGACAAGCAGAAUAGUUUUCUGCUGUCCCAACAUGUUGCCCUUUCCCCAGGUAGCAUGUAUUUUGGCACUCUACAUCUCUCCGCUUUCUGGGGAGAAUUUUAAUUUUUAAAAAGAAAAGUUGACUUAGUUAACAUCUUUCUAGAUACUUUCCUAGUAAUCAGAGAACUUUAAUUUUGGCAAACUAACAAGGUUAUCAGUGCCCUCACUCCUCUGAUUAUCUGCCCAGCAUUUGCUUGUUUAUAAUGUAUAUAUGAACUGUGCAAUAUUGGAAACAAUCUUUUUACUUAUUUAUUUGUUAGUUGAUAUUGUACCGCUUUGAAUUCACUUUCACAAAGUCAGGAUAAUAGUAACAAAGAAGUGAUUUGUAUUUUGUUACUCUUGAAUAAGGUGCUGGUGUCGAAUGAUUUUAAAGCAUUCGAAGAUACUCUAUCAAACCUAAGUUUAUUGCAGACCCUUGGUAUUCGCUAGUCAGUUAUGUUUUCUGAGUUUACAUUUGUCUUUAUACCAGUUCAACAACACAGUCAUGGCCACGAGCUCAGGAUGAAUUAGCCUAAAUUUCAGUACCUGUAAUCAAUGUUGGCUGCAGAUAUGCAUCACUCAGCCCCCACGGGAGAUCCCACAUGUACAUUACUUAGCCAGCUGGUAUGUGCAAAAAACAUGGCAUUUCCUAAUUUCAAGGCAGCUUAAAUCCAGUGGGAAGCUCUUAGACCACCCAGUUUAUGCCCUCGACCUGGGGUCUUGGAUCCUCUGCACACUGGUCUCGGCCCACCAGUCACUGCUGAGGCGCUCUUUGUUCCAGCCAGCAUGGUCUCUCGGCCCCAAUGGCUGUGCUGUGCGUGGCAUGGGGCUAGUUGGUAGGAUGUGGGAUAUCUGUGCCUGGCGUCUGGCCUUUCCAUUCUGAAGGAGUGAGGAGCCGAAUACAAAUCUCUCUUAAUUUUGGACCCACUAACCUUUGUUUCCUUCCCAGCCUCUGGGUUCAGCCCUUUUUCUCUUUGCUCUUAAUAGCACUUCUCUUCCCCCUGGACCCCCAGCAUCCUCUCUGCAGGUAACUUAGAUGUUUGCAAAAGAUAUAAGAGUCUUUGAUUCAAAGUGAUUUCUGGUGACUGUGGCUGCACACAGGAGCUCUGUGUCCGGUUGCCAGACUCUGCAUUUCUUUGCUUCCUCAGGAGAAACUCCAGCCACUGGGGCUUACUUGGCUGCCCGUGUGACCAGUGUUGCCCCAAACUGGUGACCUGGGGCUCCCUUCUCCCUGGCUCCCACUUCUGCACUGGGGUCUGGCUCCAGGCACCCACAGUGGCAGCUGGUGUGCUGACGUGCUCUUUCCUGGCUCCCUUCCCUGCCUCAUCCUCCCUCUGCAACCUGCCCAUGAAUCCUUGUCUUGGGGUGAGCUUCUGAGGGAGCCCAGAUGAAGGCAGCCCACCACCACCAGGUCUAGCUACAGGAGCUAGCUAGCGGCAGGAGCAUUUUGUUUAAGGAGAUUAGGUUGGAAAAAGCCAAAAGCAGGAGCUAACAGACUAACUACAAGUAUUUACCUUGGGGAACAGGACUAGAGGCGGGAAGGGGUGGGCCAGGGGACGGAGGCCUUUGUAAGAUACCUGGGCAUGAGCCACUUUAAUGGAAAGUAGAUCAUUUAAGACAUAAAGCAAACUAGAAAUGUGUGACCAAAUCAACAGGGAGCAUGGAUACCUCAGAGUGGCCUAGCCUGGGCGCCAUUUCCUAAUCCCUUAACUUUACUUGAACAUGUUAGUAGUUUUUGAACAACCAUAAACUGAGAUAGAUUUCACAUCUGAGCCGAUGAAAACGUUCUCUGUAUAGAAACUGUAUACAACUUGAACCAUAAUGGAGGAUAAGUAUACUCCCACCUUGUGUUCUCACCAUUGUUUAGGAAAAGACACACAGAAUAAAUAUAUUGAUAAUCACUAGAAAUGAGAUGGGAUUUGUUAAGUAAAACGUGGCAUUACUUUCUGAAGAGGCAUUUUCUGUAGCUCACUACUGUGCAGUUUUCAUGCAUACAAAGGAACCUUUUGAGUUUUGGGUUUGAGUAUUGUUUGCUGCUGUUGAGCAUCCUCUUGAGACCACAGCCCAGGACUCCAGGCGCGGUUCCUUGGUGGCCUUAAGGCACUGGCACCGAACUGCCAUUCCGAGUAACCGCCGUGGCCUCUGUCUUCCACUAGGUAGCAGACUUCUCCCAGCUCUGCACGGCAGGCACCCGGAAAGGAACACAAGCCUCUCAGCUCUGCUUCCUCUGUUUGGCUCUCCUGGAAAAUCACUGGGGUGCUGCGGGCCAGAUUUAGAUUUCCUGCACAGACCGUCAUUGCCUUGGUUAGAGGAGGGAAGGUAGGGUUGGCUGGUUAGCAUUCCAAGAGGAGGUGACAAAGAAGACCCUUGAUACGCAGCACUGAAGAGAAAGGCUUGUUCUUGUUUGUUUGUUUUUUUGACAAUUUUUGAUAAAUAGAAAAAUUCCCUGUUUUAUAAGACAAAUUAGAAAUGAGUGAAAUAAACAAGUGUUACCAGUCACAUACAGAGUUACAGCUAAAUGUUCGGAUAACAUUGUGAUCAGAGAAGAUAUUUUGUGAUAUUUGUUUUCAUAGUGUGAUUAACAUUUUAUCAUUUGUUUAAAAUAUUUUGAAAAAUGUACUCAUGAUUUAAGGUUGAAGUACAAGGGUUGGUAAAGUAAGUGUAAAAAUAAAAUAAAACAAAGUAAAAU